rnacentral:rRNA from 1 species
UGGGGAAUAUUGGGCAAUGGGGGCAACCCUGACCCAGCGACGCCGCGUGGGGGAAGACGGCCUUCGGGUUGUAAACCUCUUUUGUACGGGAAGAAGGAAGUGACGGUACUGUACGAAUAAGUCCCGGCUAACUACGUGCCAGCAGCCGCGGUAAUACGUAGGGGACGAGCGUUGUCCGGAAUUACUGGGCGUAAAGGGCGCGCAGGCUGUGCUGCAAGUCAGCUGUUAAAUGUCUGGGCUUAACCCGGGCAUGCGGUUGAGACUGCGGUGCUGGAGUGCUGUAGAGGCAAGUGGAAUUCCCAGUGUAGCGGUGAAAUGCGUAGAUAUUGGGAAGAACACCGGUGGCGAGGGCGACUUGCUGGGCAGCAACUGACGCUGAGGCGCGAA